rnacentral:rRNA from 1 species
UACGUAGGUGGCAAGCGUUGUCCGGAUUUACUGGGCGUAAAGAGCGCGCAGGCGGUCGUUCAAGUCGCGUGUGAAAGCCCCCGGCUCAACUGGGGAGGGUCACGCGAUACUGAUCGACUCGAAGGCAGGAGAGGGAAGUGGAAUUCCCGGUGUAGUGGUGAAAUGCGUAGAUAUCGGGAGGAACACCAGUGGCGAAGGCGACUCCUGGCCUGUUCUUGACGCUGAGGCGCGAAAGCUAGGGGAGCAAACGGG